UCUCACCUCGUCUCUCUCUCACUCGUCAUCUCUCCCUCACUCUUCUCACUCGCCUCCUCUCACCUCAAAACGCAGCGACCAUUGCUCCGACCUCCUCGGCUCUCCCAUUGCUCCGGCCACAGUAGUUCGGGAGGUGCUUAAACCUAUUCUUGAUCCGUACUUUGAUAAAUGUAAGUAAAAAAUCGUUUUUGAGUUGGUAGAUUAGACAUGGCAGAAGAAAUGAAAUGGUGGCCGGAGAUGGUGUUCUCCAGUGGUUGCAGAGGGAAGAAGAAGAGAGAGGGAGCGAGAGGUCAGGGGAGAGAGAGAGAAGGAAGCGCGGCUGAGAAGAGAGAAAGGGAGAGUUUAGGUUUUUGGUGAGAUGGUGGUCGGAAGUGGUGGUCUCCGGUGAUGGCAGAGGAAGAGAAGAAGAAGAGAGGUUGAGGGAGAGAGAGAGAGAGACCGUGCGGCCAGGAAAGAGGGAGAGAGGGAGGGAGGGAGAGAGAGAGUAAAAAAAGGGGAGAAAAAUUAAAAAAAUAGAGAAAAAAUAAAAAUAAAAAUAAAAAUAGAAAAUGAGGGGCAUAAUAGUCAUUUCAGAUCAUUUUGGACUUGUUAUAUGAGAAUUAGAGAGAAUAAGGACUAUCCAGUUUAAUUUGAAAUGCGAGGGACUAAACUGUUUUUCAGGCAAAAGUUUGAGGAGUAAGAAGUAUUUAAUCCUAUAUUUUUUGUUUGAUUGAUUCACUCGAAAGUUCAUGUUCUUGGAGGAUAGGGUGGGCAGCUGAGGAUGAUAGAUUUAUCUGUAUCAUAUAGGGAGUAUAAGAAAAUGAUCGGAAAAGAAAAAUAACAACAGAAGCAUAAAGAUAAGCUUGAUAAAAAAAUUAAAAAAAAAAGAUAAGAUGAGAUAGUAAAGAUAGAGUGAUUAUAAAUUCAUUAAGCGAUGAUUAAAAUAUUUUCAAUUAAGUGAGUUUUGAUGUUUAAGCGAAUGAUGCAUAAUUCUCGUUUCUGAGAAAUUUAUAAGUGUCGUUCUAGCCUUCGAUUAUCAAUGAAAUAUUCCUUUACUCAAAAAAAAAAAAAAAAACAAAAAAACAAAAAAAAAACAUUUUCACUCACCAUGUGGUUAUUUUUAAUGAUUUUCACUACUAGCAAAAUAACCUAUCCAUACUGAUUUCUACUAGCCACAGAUAUCUGUGUGGAAUAUCAAGUGAUACAGACAACCGUAACUAUUAACUUAUAUGGACCGCACAGAAAAUACAUUCAUAAUUGUACAUACAAAAAUCUAUGUGACUGGCAAGGGAAGUGGCGAGGGCACCCGCGACACGGGGGGACUGGCACAGGAGGCACCGGCACUGGCACCGGCGGAGUUCCGUGGCAGUGGAUUGUGGAUGCUCAGAAGAAGAUGAAGGUUCAGGCCAAAAUCUGUUUCUUUUCUGUGCUCAUGGUCAUCAUGCUCUGCUUCGUGAUCCUUAAAGUCAUCAAGCUCAUCGAGUUUUUCGCUGUCACACCAAAGAAAUGAGAUGAGCUUCCUGGUCAGAUCUCGCAUGUCGGAGCCUGCUAUCGCGUUUUCGUUCCUCAGCAACGCGGUCUCAGUGGUGGGCUUGUGUCUGCAGGAGGAAGCGCGUGGGGCGAAGGAAGCCCGCGAUAAGGAGGUACAUGCCGUGUGGCAGGAGGAGCAAGAGAGGGAAUCUGUUCGCCAGGUCAGGGAAGUGGAAAUUGCCAAGAAGAAAGAGCUGCUUGAAGCCAAUGCGCAAGCCAUGGCGGCUCACUCUCUGAUUCUGCAGUAGGCGUUGGUAGCCUAUGUUGGGCUACUUUCGAUCUCUGACAAAUAGGUUGCUCAUCAUUGGCACGUGGAAUUGUAGAUUUGUGGAGAAACUAUGGAGUUAGCAGGGGGCAAGGAAAAUUUUGGGUUUUUGGCAUGAUAGCAGGGAGGGUUAUGGGAAUCAAAUUUUAAUUUUCAAUCUAGAUUUUCAUCCAUGUUUUGCUCAGGUUGUAUGCAUGUUUUGCUCAGGUUGUAUGAUCUUACACUAUUGGAGAAUUGAAGUUAAGUUUAGACAGAGAUAUGAUAGUAAUGGUGUCUAUCUCCUCGCAUAUUGUCUAUUUUAUUUGCUAUUCUCUGUUUUGUCAUU